GGUGUAGAACAAACGGUCUGAGCGCUUGGCGGGCGACUGAGAGCGGAGCGGGCGAGGCCGAGGAGCGGAGGCUGAAGCCGUGAGGAGCGGCCCGGCGAGGGCGAGGGGCGUGCGAGCGGGCGGCCGCGGCUCGCCUUUGGCCCUUCUUAUCAGGAUGAAAACGCUUCUGUUUGGUGUCUGGACCCUGCUGGCCUUGAUCCUUUGCCCAGGCAAGCCACAGUUAGAGGAAUCCAGUUGCCCUGGCAAACAGACCUGGCUGGAAGGGAUGGAACACACGCUCGCCUGCGUCCCAAAGGGAAACCCAGCUCCAGCCUUGGUGUGUACCUGGAAUGGGGUGGUCUUUGACCUUGAAGUGCCACAGAAGGCAACCUAGAACCACACUGGAACCUACCGCUACACAGCCACUAACCAGCUGGGCUCUGUCAGCAAAGACAUUGCUGUCAUUGUUCAAGG
rnacentral:lncRNA from 1 species